ensembl:lncRNA
GCUCUGGGUGUCCCCUGCUUAAGCAGGGUUUGGACAAAAUGGACCUAGAGGUCUAUUCCCACCUCAACCAUUCUGUGAAGGUACUGGCCUAACUCUUCCUUCUGAGCAGUGGUGGUCUUGGAUGUCCACAACUCUCUGCACCCUUGAGGGAUGAAGUAAAGAGUCCUUGCUCUGCAGAAAGCUCUCUUGGUGUUUCUCUUAUGCAACACAAUCUUCUGUGAGAGCCAAAAGACUUUUUGAAGUUUGGAAGACCAAGAAAAUAUUUCCAGUCUUUCUUCAAGGCAGUUACUCUGAGGAAACAAGAUAGAUAGUUCAAUUGAGUGAGAACAAAUAUGUUUCAUCAAGUGGCAAUCCAAGAGCAGGACGGUUUUCUUGCUUCUGAGCAAGAAGAAAAGAUGAUGGAGCUGUGCUGCUGGUGGACACCUUCUUCUUUAGUUCAUUUGCACCCCAGAACUUGGAAUUCCCUCCUCUUCACUGUACCUAUGUACCACUGUACCUAUGCACCUAAAAGUAUUGUUUCCAUUUUGCAAACUGAUGACUUUUAAAUACAGCUGC